rnacentral:rRNA from 1 species
AUUGAACGCUGGCGGAAUGCUUUACACAUGCAAGUCGAACGGCAGCACGGACUUCGGUCUGGUGGCGAGUGGCGAACGGGUGAGUAAUGUAUCGGAACGUGCCCAGUCGUGGGGGAUAACGUAGUGAAAAUUACGCUAAUACCGCAUACGAUCUAUGGAUGAAAGCGGGGGAUCGCAAGACCUCGCGCGAUUGGAGCGGCCGAUAUCAGAUUAGGUAGUUGGUGGGGUAAAGGCCCACCAAGCCAACGAUCUGUAGCUGGUCUGAGAGGACGACCAGCCACACUGGAACUGAGACACGGUCCAGACUCCUACGGGAGGCAGCAGUGGGGAAUUUUGGACAAUGGGCGAAAGCCUGAUCCAGCCAUUCCGCGUGCAGGAUGAAGGCCCUCGGGUUGUAAACCGCUUUUGUACAGAACGAAAAGGUUUCUACUAAUACUAGGAGCUCAUGACGGUACUGUAAGAAUAAGCACCGGCUAACUACGCGCCAGCCGCCGCGGUAA